rnacentral:piRNA from 1 species
UGUGAGAAAAUGAGCUCAGUUGGCUGAAGU